UACGGAGGGGGCUAGCGUUGUUCGGAAUUACUGGGCGUAAAGCGCACGUAGGCGGCUGUUCAAGUCAGAGGUGAAAGCCUGGAGCUCAACUCCAGAACUGCCUUUGAAACUAGACAGCUAGAAUCAUGGAGAGGUGAGUGGAAUUCCGAGUGUAGAGGUGAAAUUCGUAGAUAUUCGGAAGAACACAAGUGGCGAAGGCGGCUCACUGGACAUGUAUUGACGCUGAGGUGCGAAAGCGUGGGGAGCAAACAGG
rnacentral:rRNA from 1 species